AGGCCUCCCAUUCGAAUCGAAGUAAGGCCCCUCGAAGACUACGAGGUUGAUAGGCGGGAGGUGCAAGCGCCGCGAGGCGUUGAGCUGACCCGUACUAAUAGGCCGAGGGCUUGACCUU
rnacentral:rRNA from 1 species